rnacentral:tRNA from 1 species
GCCGAAAUAGCUCAGUUAGGAGAGCGUUAGACUGAAUAUCUAAGGUCCCUGGUUCGAUCCCGGGUUUCGGCA